CGCUUAUGCAUGCAAGUCGAACGGUGCCGGAUGGCUUCGGCUAUUCGGGAUAGUGGCGAACGGCUGAGUAACACGUAAGUGACCUACCCCGAGCAGGGGGAUAAACCCGGGAAACCGGGCCUAAUACCGCGUAAGCUCCGUUGGUUACGGCUGACGGAGGAGAGGCAUCCGUUUAGGCGGGUGUCGUCUUGGGAGGGGCUUGCGGCCUAUCAGGUAGUUGGUGAGGUAAUGGCUCACCAAGCUGAAGACGGGUACCCGGUGUGAGAGCACGAACGGGCAGAGGGGGACUGAGACACGGCCCCCACUCCUACGGGAGGCAGCAGCAGGGAAUCUUGCGCAAUGGGCGAAAGCCUGACGCAGCGACACCGCGUGGGGGAGGACGGCUUUCGGGUUGUAAACCCCUUUUCUCGGGGAAGAGUAAGGACGGUACCCGAGGAAUAAGCCUCGGCUAACUACGUGCCAGCAGCCGCGGUAAUACGUAGGAGGCGAGCGUUGUCCGGAUUUACUGGGCGUAAAGGGCGAGUAGGCGGCUUGCCAAGUCUCAUGUGGAAUCUCCCGGCUCAACUGGGAGGGGUCAUGAGAAACUGGCAGGCUUGAGGUCAGCAGAGGAGAGUGGAAUUCCCGGAGUAGCGGUGAAAUGCGUAGAUACCGGGAGGAACACCCGAGGCGAAGGCGACUCUCUGGGCUGCACCUGACGCUGAGGCGCGAAAGCAUGGGGAGCAAACCGGAUUAGAUACCCGGGUAGUCCAUGCCUUAAACGAUGGAUACUAGGUAUAGGGGGUAUCGACCCCCUCUGUGCCGAAGUUAACGCGAUAAGUAUCCCGCCUGGGGAGUACGGCCGCAAGGCUAAAACUCAAAGGAAUUGACGGGGCCCCGCACAAGCAGCGGAGCGUGUGUUUAAUUCGAUGAUAGCGAAGAACCUUACCAGGCUUGACAUGCUUCCGAAAGCCGCCGAAAGGCGGGCCUCCCUUCGGGGACGGAUGCA
rnacentral:rRNA from 1 species